GAAGGAGCAGGGGUGAUGCAUAGCUGUGGAGGAAAGGGCAGCAGGCCGGCUGGAAGAGGCAGGCAGCCUGGAAGUUGGCCUGGCGAUGGCCAGGAGGAGACCUACUUAGGGUUCCCCAUCACCCCAGCCCUCUGAGGACAGCAAGCAGUUAAGAGGCAGGCCCAUGAGAAACUGGGGUCCUCGGCUACUGAUGAAGGGGCAUAGUCCCUGGGAAUCAGCUGAGACUUAAAUGAUACCCAAAUGUCCCCCUGUCUCUGAGGUCCAGAAACUGAGAUGACGGAGGCCAGGAUUCCAGGAAGGGGACACAUGAGGACAGGCUUCCUGGUUUCCAGUGGGGAGAGGCCAUGAGGCCAUCCCCCUCAGCAGGUGGGGCUUGGGGUGGGGGGGCACCGUGACCCUUCACUUCCCUGCUGGCCCACCCUCUGUCCGGCAGACACACGUCUCUUUUCCUUGACCACGGGCGGGGGCUGCCCCCUGGACUGGGCCCCGUUCCUUGAUCCUGUGUGGGAGGCUCUGGUGAGAAAGAGAGCUGGUAACGGGGGGUGGGGGUGAGGGGACACAUCAGAGAUUGGGGGCGCGGCGCGGGGACUCCAACUUGCAGAGGGAGGGGUGGACACUCAACAAAGACCUGGGUCCUGUUGUUUUAAAUAAGAAAUUUAUUGCAAAUAUAGAAAUUGAUUCUCUCCAUACAGGAAUCUCCAAGUUGAGGAAAACAAUUUCGUGCCAUUCAGUUUAAAAUAGGAAAUUGGGAGGGAGAGGCAGAUACAGGGAAGAGAAAAUAAAUGAAGUCACCCCCCCCACCCUGAAAAGAAGAAAAGGAGCGUACAUCCCCCCCCACCCAAGGAGGAAAAGGUCCGGUCCACACAGCGAAGGUUCACAGUGUCCAUCUGUGGAAGAGACCUUGUGGCUGUCCCGUGUCGCUGCACGUAAGCGCCUUAUAACCUACCGCGCUUGUCCCCCGAUGCCUGCCCCCCUUUCUGGCCUCAGUCUGUCUUUAACGGGUUUUGAGACCCUACAAGCUUUCCUUCCCUCUCCCUCCUCCCUGUGCUUCCUCCUCUGCUAAAAGUCCGGGACACGGGGGUGGGGAACAUCAGAGACCCUCGGCCAGGCCCAGACUCUCAGCCCUGCCCUGGGAGGAGGGGGAGCAGUGAGAGGCGAGGGGCCAAGG
rnacentral:lncRNA from 1 species